UACGUAGGGUGCAAGCGUUGUUCGGAAUCAUUGGGCGUAAAGCGCGUGUAGGUGGUUAGUUAAGUCGGGUGUGAAAUCCCUCAGCUCAACUGAGGAAGUGCAUCCGAAACUGAUUAGCUAGAGGACGGUAAAGGAAGGUGGAAUUCCAAGUGUAGAGGUGAAAUUCGUAGAUAUUUGGAGGAAUACCGGUGGCGAAGGCGGCCUUCUGGGCCGUUCCUGACACUGAGACGCGAAAGCGUGGGGAGCAAACAGG
rnacentral:rRNA from 1 species